rnacentral:rRNA from 1 species
GUGAAGAUGCAGUGUACCCGCGGCAAGACGGAAAGACCCCGUGAACCUUUACUAUAGCUUGACACUGAACACUGGUCCUUGAUGUGUAGGAUAGGUGGGAGGCUUUGAAGUGUGGACGCCAGUCUGCGUGGAGCCAUCCUUGAAAUACCACCCUUUAAUGGCUGGUGUUCUAACGUGGGCCCCUAAUCGGGGUUGCGGACAGUGUCUGGUGGGUAGUUUGACUGGGGCGGUCUCCUCC